rnacentral:tRNA from 1 species
UGUCCUCUGGCGUGGCGGAACACCUUGGCGUUGGAAACGCUGACGGUGUCGUUUUGCUCGAGAGGGGGACGG